rnacentral:rRNA from 1 species
AUUGAACGCUGGCGGCAUGCCUUACACAUGCAAGUCGAACGGUAACAGGCCGCAAGGUGCUGACGAGUGGCGAACGGGUGAGUAAUGCAUCGGAACGUGCCCAGUCGUGGGGGAUAACUGCCCGAAAGAGCAGCUAAUACCGCAUACGACCUGAGGGUGAAAGCGGGGGACCGUAAGGCCUCGCGCGAUUGGAGCGGCAGAUGUCAGAUUAGCUAGUUGGUGGGGUAAAGGCCUACCAAGGCAACGAUCUGUAGUGGUCUGAGAGGACGACCAGCCACACUGGGACUGAGACACGGCCCAGACUCCUACGGGAGGCAGCAGUGGGGAAUUUUGGACAAUGGGCGCAAGCCUGAUCCAGCAAUGCCGCGUGCAGGAAGAAGGCCUUCGGGUUGUAAACUGCUUUUGUCAGGGAAGAAAUCUUCUGGGCUAAUACCCCGGGAGGAUGACGGUACCUGAAGAAUAAGCACCGGCUAACUACGUGCCAGCCGCCGCGGUAAUAC